GAGUAAUGCCUAGGAAUCUGCCUGGUAGUGGGGGACAACGUUUCGAAAGGAACGCUAAUACCGCAUACGUCCUACGGGAGAAAGCAGGGGACCUUCGGGCCUUGCGCUAUCAGAUGAGCCUAGGUCGGAUUAGCUAGUUGGUGAGGUAAUGGCUCACCAAGGCGACGAUCCGUAACUGGUCUGAGAGGAUGAUCAGUCACACUGGAACUGAGACACGGUCCAGACUCCUACGGGAGGCAGCAGUGGGGAAUAUUGGACAAUGGGCGAAAGCCUGAUCCAGCCAUGCCGCGUGUGUGAAGAAGGUCUUCGGAUUGUAAAGCACUUUAAGUUGGGAGGAAGGGCACUUAGCUAAUACCUUGGUGUUUUGACGUUACCGACAGAAUAAGCACCGGCUAACUCUGUGCCAGCAGCCGCGGUAAUACAGAGGGUGCAAGCGU
rnacentral:rRNA from 1 species